UCUUGUAUCCAAAAGUGAUCAUGGGUUGCCUGUGUCCCGAUCAUUAACAGUGCAGGGGUAGGAGUGCUGAAAGACAUCUUCCCUGCGUUGGUCCAGCCUUCCCUUUCAAACCCUGGAGCUUUCCCACG
rnacentral:snoRNA from 10 species